GACGAACGCUGGCGGCGUGCUUAACACACGCAAGUCGAACGGAAAGGCCCUGCUUUUGUGGGGUGCUCGAGUGGCGAACGGGUGAGUAACACGUGAGUAACCUGCCCUUGACUUUGGGAUAACUUCAGGAAACUGGGGCUAAUACCGGAUAGGAGCUCCUGCUGCAUGGUGGGGGUUGGAAAGUUUCGGCGGUUGGGGAUGGACUCGCGGCUUAUCAGCUUGUUGGUGGGGUAGUGGCUUACCAAGGCUUUGACGGGUAGCCGGCCUGAGAGGGUGACCGGCCACAUUGGGACUGAGAUACGGCCCAGACUCCUACGGGAGGCAGCAGUGGGGAAUAUUGCACAAUGGGCGGAAGCCUGAUGCAGCAACGCCGCGUGCGGGAUGACGGCCUUCGGGUUGUAAACCGCUUUCGCCUGUGACGAAGCGUGCGUGACGGUAAUGGGUAAAGAAGCACCGGCUAACUACGUG
rnacentral:rRNA from 1 species